CUUCCUAAGGCUGCUGCCAUAGAGUCAAGCCGAAGGCCUAGAGCCGCCACCAUGGAUUCACAGCGGAAGUUCCCUCGUGCUCCCGGAUGUGACCUAUACCUUGUGGGUUUAGAUAGCAUCCGAGUUCUGCGGCGGAGGCAGAUCCAUAAACCACCAGGAUUAUAUACAAAAUCAUCUGUGUAGCAUUCAAACCCUUUCAUAAUUUAUCUCUUCUGGGUUCUUACACCUUCUCAUCUUCAGUCUAGUGACACUGGUCUCCUUGUUUAUUCCUUGUUCAAGUUAUUCCAUCUUCUAACGACAUGUCUUUUCACUGGCAGACUCCCAGGCCCGAAAUUCUCUCCUCCAUCUCCAACUCGACUUCCUUCAAGUCUCAGAUAAAUUCCAUUUUCUACAGGAAGCCUUUCUCCAUCCUCCUCAAUAACUUGGCACCAAAUACACAAGAUGAAGCCUAACUUAAUUUGCAGAAGGCCCUCAACUUGUUGCACAUUCAUAAUUUCAUUAUUAAUGAUUACAAGAUCUUCAUAAGGCAUUUAUCUUUUUUUAAUAAACAGAGUGUUACUGAUAAUUUAAA